GACGUAGGGCGCGAGCGUUGUCCGGAUUUAUUGGGCGUAAAGAGCUCGUAGGCGGUUUGUCGCGUCGACUGUGAAAACCUACAGCUUAACUGUGGGCUUGCAGUCGAUACGGGCAGACUAGAAUUCGGUAGGGGAGACUGGAAUUCCGUGGUGUAGCGUGAAAUGCGCAGGAUAAUCAGGAAGAACACCGGUGGCGAAGGCGGGUCGCUGGGCAGU
rnacentral:rRNA from 1 species